rnacentral:rRNA from 1 species
AGAAGACCCUGUGGAGCUUUAAUUAACUAACCCAAACGAAUGGAUACUAGAUACCUACAAGGCAUAACAUAACACCAUUAUUAUGAGUUAGCAAUUUAGGUUGGGGUGACCUCGGAAUAUAAAAAAACUCCCGAGUGAUUAAAAUUUAGACCCACAAGUCAAAAUACAACAUCACUUAUUGAUCCAAUAAGUUUUGAUCAACGGAACAAGUUACCCUAGGGAU